rnacentral:tRNA from 1 species
CGGGAUGUAGCUCAGUUUGGUCAGAGCGCUCGCCUUGGGAGCGAGAAGUCGCAGGUUCGAGUCCUGUCAUCCCGA